rnacentral:sRNA from 1 species
ACAUCACAUUUGUCUGCCACAGCAGCAACAACAGAAAAGCGGAGGGAGGGAGGGAGGCGGGAGGAGGGGAGCAGAGCUCCGCAAGUCUUGGGCUCUGCGUGGAGGUUGCGUUUGGCUGGCGUCCCCGACCCCGGGCUUUUUGCACGGCAGCUCUCUCUGCGCAGCGCCGGGCGGCCGUAGUCGCCCCGCGGCGCGACUCCGCGGCCUCGUGGCGAGCGCGCGUGGGCGAGUGGCCGCGGACACUCUGGCCUCGCGAGGGAAGCCGCGCCGCGUCCUCGCCCCGUCGCCCCGCGGGCCGGCCGAGACGACGGGAAGUUUUAUUUGCAGCUCGGAGCCUGUGGCGGAUGGUGGGACUCUCCGGCCCUGUGCAGUGCCAACUUGCCCCUGCUGCAGCGUGAGCUCCUCCACUGCGCAAGACUGGCCAAACAGAACCCUGCCCAGUACCUCGCCCAGCAUGAACAGCUGCUUCUGGAUGCCAGCACCACCUCACCUGUUGACUCCUCA